CUACGGGGGGCUCCAGUGGGGAAUUUUGGACAAUGGGGGCAACCCUGAUCCAGCCAUGCCGCGUGAGUGAAGAAGGCCUUCGGGUUGUAAAGCUCUUUCAGCCGGGAAGAAAUCGCAUGGGUUAAUACCCUGUGCGGAUGACGGUACCGGAAUAAGAAGCACCGGCAACUACGUGCCAGCAGCCGCGGUAAUACGUGGGGUGCGAGCGUUAACCGGAAUUACUGGGCGUAAAGCGUGCGCAGGCGGAUGCUUAAGUCAGAUGUGAAAUCCCCGGGCUUAACCUGGGAAUUGCAUUUGAAACUGGGUGUCUAGAGUGCGUCAGAGGGGGGUGGAAUUCCACGUGUAGCAGUGAAAUGCGUAGAUAUGUGGAGGAACACCAAUGGCGAAGGCAGCCCCCUGGGAUGACACUGACGCUCAUGCACGAAAGCGUGGGGAGCAAACAGGAUUAGAUACCCCAGUAGUC
rnacentral:rRNA from 1 species